rnacentral:rRNA from 1 species
ACGGAGGGUGCAAGCGUUAAUCGGAAUUACUGGGCGUAAAGCGCACGUAGGCGGUCAUUUAAGUCGGAUGUGAAAUCCCCGGGCUCAACCUGGGAACUGCAUACGAUACUGGAUGGCUAGAGUAUGGCAGAGGGGAGUGGAAUUCCAGGUGUAGCGGUGAAAUGCGUAGAUAUCUGGAGGAACAUCAGUGGCGAAGGCGACUCCCUGGGUUAAUACUGACGCUGAGGUGCGAAAGCGUGGGGAGCAAACAGG